rnacentral:misc_RNA from 1 species
UUUCCGUAGGUGAACCUGCGGAAGGAUCAUUACCGAGUUCAUGCCCUUACGGGUAGAUCUCCCACCCUUUGUAUACUAUACCUUUGUUGCUUUGGCGGGCCGCCUAGCUACUGGCUUCGGCUGGUAAGUGCCCGCCAGAGGACCCAAAACCCUGAAUUAUUAGUGUCGUCUGAGUAAAAAUAUUUAAUAUUUAAAACUUUCAACAACGGAUCUCUUGGCUCUG